rnacentral:rRNA from 1 species
UACGUAGGGUGCAAGCGGUGUCCGGAAUUAUUGGGCGUAAAGAGCUUGUAGGCGGUUUGUCGCGUCUGCUGUGAAAUUUCGGGGCUCAACCCCGAACUUGCAGUGGGUACGGGCAGACUAGAGUGUGGUAGGGGAGACUGGAAUUCCUGGUGUAGCGGUGAAAUGCGCAGAUAUCAGGAGGAACACCCGUAGCGAAGGCGGCACUCUGGGCCGAUACUGACACUGAGGAGCGAAAGCGUGGGGAGCGAACAGG